rnacentral:misc_RNA from 1 species
UAUCAGUAGGUGAACAUGCGGAGGGAUCAUUACACAAAUAUGAAGGAGGGCUGGAACCUCUCGGGGUUACAGCCUUGCUGAAUUAUUCACCCUUGUCUUUUGCGUACUUCUUGUUUCCUUGGUGGGUUCGCCCACCACUAGGACAAACAUAAACCUUUUGUAAUUGCAAUCAGCGUCAGUAACAAAUUAAUAAUUACAACUUUCAACAACGGAUCUCUUGGUUCUGGCAUCGAUGAAGAACGCAGC